UCCCUUGUUACUGGCGUUGGGCAGCCGCACAUAGCACAGCUGAGAGCCUCACGGCAAGGUUGUGGGCUGCUGGUUACGGCCGCCUUCCCGGCGUAGCCGCGUGGCUGCUGUGUUGGAGCUACGGCGACCGUCCCCAGGCGAUGAUGGGCUGAUGGUGCAGGGGCGGUCGCCUUCCCCGUUCCAAGCUCCAAGCCUGCCCGCGCCCUGUCGCUCUCUGCUUGCUCUAUGCUGUUCCUUUUGGCACGGGGUGCCGGGGACUGUGGCGGUUCCGGCCUAGGAUCGCAGCCGGUUUACCUGCCACGCAUUUCUGCGGUUCAGAGCCCGCGGCAUCGAAUGAAGGCCAAGCUUCUGUACCGCCGUCUCACCUGCCACCCGCGAGGUGUUCGACCUUAUGGCGCUGAAGCAGUGAAGCGGGUGCGCCGGCACGCUGUUGAGGUUCAGAGUGUACUUCGACUCAAACCGAGUAAAUCACACGUUCUUGCACAUCCUAAGCCGUGCCGCUUGAACCAAACACUACUUGGAAAUGGAUGCAGCCCGAUUGAUUUUACAACUGCAAGUUUUGGUUGUUGCCUGUCAGUCUGUGGACGUGGGGCUAACUUCUGGCUUCACUUCCUCCAUGCUUUCUGCAGAUUAGCCAGAUGACAGUCCACGCUACAAAAUAUCUAUGUGUUACAUGUAGCUGCACCUGCACUGCAUUGCUGUCACAUGUGACUGAGACUGUGUUGCAAGAUGUUGACUUAUUAUCUGGAGCUAAUACAGGUACAAUGGGAUCAUAACUUGGAGGAUAGUGUGAUAUACAUCAAUGGAGUCUCAAUCUUGUAUCAUCCUAAGAUCUGUGUCAAGUACUUGGAUCUUCUGCUGCUACGAGUGAAGUUCAUACCUGCCAUGAGCAAACUAGUGCCAUUCUUGCUGUGAUCUCCAUCUGCAGAUAACACAUAGGUUGAUUGAAUAAAUGAGUAAGAAAUUUUGUGGAAAUUUACUGUUGGAAUCGCUUGAGGUUAUGGUUUCAUAUAUAUACUUUAAGAGAGAAUUUGACAAGCUUCACUACUUAAGUUGCAGCACAAAGAGAAAUGAUGAUGGAGAAAUGUCCCAGUAAUGAUAGGUAACAGUGGACCAGGUGCGAGGUAAGCAGUGACAACAUCAAUCAUAUUUUUGAAUUAAUUGGAAAUUUUAAUUUUUGCACAAGACUAAUCUAAAACAUUGUAGGAUUCUCAUAUUUUAGAUGAAAGCUGCAAUUUCCACAUUUUACUUUUUCAUGUUAUGUGUAACAAAUCUGUCGGCACCUAAUAUAAUACUGGAACAGAAGUGAUAUCAGGCACAUGGAAAGGUAAUCAUGUUACCUGAAACGCAAUCUGAAAGCGACAAAAGGUACUUCCUUAUGCUUCCCGAUUGCACUGAGAAAUUGACCAGGGGAAUCUGCCCAGCACUGCCAACCUCACUGAAGCUUCGGAUCCAUUCGAACCGCGGAGAGGCAUGGCAUGAAGCAAGACCGCGCUCAUCCGGCUCUAUGCUUUGGUGAACCUCCUUGCCAUGCCCAAAGAUGCUGCGGAAAACUGUGACGUCGCUGUGGCCGCAGCUGAUCGAUGAGAACCACGUCACCAAGUCGUGGUAACUUCUCUCGAAGUUGUCCACAGGUGGCCUGAAGGUGAAGAAGAAACUGCAGGGCAAGUUGUUGCUGACGCUGAGCUGCACAUCCUGGACUACCACGGCUGGGUCGAGACCCGGAGUAGCAACGAAGAAAGGAGGUCUGAUCUCGAUGGGUUCGGUACUGUUGCAUUGAAGCACGGACGGGCAUGAACUGGAGGAGAAGGUUGGGAGCAGGAUGAAGAGGAAGAUGGCCAGAGAGAGGGGCGAGACUGGCGAGGUGGUCAUUGCUGGGCAACAGCAACAGACUAGCACCAGGCAUGCAAAAUUGCAACUGCAUCAGCCACUGCAAGUAUUCUGUAGGGUAGAUGCCAGUGGCCUUUAGGCAAUAAUGCUACAGCCUACAGCUGCAGGGGGCGAAGACCGGCAGUAGACUUGAAGAGUGUCACUACAGAUACCUCCACGUCCUCCGGUCCUCGCACGGCUUGGUAGGACGAAUGUGCCAAAGUCGUUACCGUUGACGACAGCCGAGUGACUAGUUACUACAGUAGUAAACAAAAGAACGACUGACAAAUCAUAGUCUCACUUGUCAGCAUUCAGUAAGUAGUAGUCAUUACACGGUUGUAACUUGACUAACGAGUGACUGCGAGUAACUGCAAAGCUCCACCUCACAAGCUGAUCGAACAACUAACUUAACGGGCCACAUCUACUGCUGUUACAGUCGAAUACUAGUAAACAUUCCUUUUCAAAAAAAUAUAUUAGUAAACAUGAACUCCAGACGAA